CUGGCUGCUUUUUAAUGUCUCAGGAGCUAAAAAAUACUCUCCCGCUGUGCUACUAAGCAUGAAAAAUUGUCAGAAUCUCUCAAGUGUUUCCUUGUAUGUCAUUUUAUUUUCACAUGCAUUUAGAUUUAAUUAAUUUUGAAAGGAACACAAAGAAAAGAUGUGAUAAAACUGAUGUGGAUAUCCAGAUCCAGUAAAUUGCGCCCUGAAUAACACUAUCUCCUUUAAAAAGCCAUUCAAAUGUAAAGUUCAGAGUCCUACAGGCUAAUUAGUCUCCUUAAGAAGCACUAACUAUUCAGAGGUGUAGGCUAAUGUGAGGGUGAUAUUUAAACCCCCCUAGUUUCUCAGUGAGAGGUCUGCAGUCGCACAUGGACUCCCAGGAGAUUUAAAAAGGAAAAAGGUGAAAUUUUGAAGUCACUGGCAUCACAGCUGGGCAGCAGGUCCAGUUUGAGAGAUGAUUCAACAGAGAUUUGUUUUUGGAAAAGGGGGAGCUACACUGUGACGCACACACACUUAAAGAGAUUUAUCAGGGCAAGCAUACCGUGUGCUAGUCUGCACUGAUGGACUCUCUGAUUCACACGGAGACACCAAAAGACCCCAAUCAUACUGAACCAAAACACAGCUGCUGCUGCCUCCGAUGUAAGCCGGCAUGUGUCUGAAUCACUGUGCUGCUACUGAUUGAAAGCCAUAAUGUUCUAAUUUAGCAUUUCACAUGAGAUUACAAGUGGCUGAAUGGACGAGACGCUUACUUCUUAAGUCUUAUUUAUUUUGAACUUUGAAGUAAUAAAUGAUUAAAUAAAGAAGUUUAAAAAAAACACCUUUUGUUUUUAUACAUGUAUAAACAUAUAUAUGUAUAUAUAUAUAUGCUUGGUAUUUUUAGUGACCUAUCUAUGCAGCAAACACUGCUGUAGAUUAUUAAUGAGGACUUUUGUUAAAAUAACUAAGAAGAUAAUAUUUUUAUCUCCCAUCUCAUAUUUUAAAGAUUGUCAUUUGAUUACUAAUAUUUCAUCUGUAAUUAAGAUAUAUCCAACUGUCCUGAUUACAAACUGCCAUGAAGCUCAUUUGUUUCUAAUUGCUAAAAAUAAUAGAUUACAGCUUACAUGUAGACGUAAAAUCAUAUUUGCAUUUAUAUUACUUUACAUAAAGAAACGCAUUUUGGUAUGAAAAUGAGCUUUUCUACUAUUUCUUAUUCUGUUUUCUUAACUCAUCACUGUCCAACAGUGAGCCACACAAUAAACCUUAAAAGGUUUUGAUGAGAUUUGAUUCAGUGUUAUAUUUUGGCUUUUAAUGCGACUAUAAGAAUGCUUAUGUAUUCAAGCAGCCAGGUCUGCAUCUAUGAUUAUGACCAUUCAUAAUACACUCCUGGAGUCCAUCCCUCUCUCCCAGUUCCCAUCUUCAUUCAUCCCU